GACGAACGCUGGCGGCGUGCUUAACACAUGCAAGUCGAACGGAAAGGCCCUGCUGUGGUGGGGUGCUCGAGUGGCGAACGGGUGAGUAACACGUGGGUAAACUGCCCUGGACUUUGGGAUAACUUCAGGAAAAUGGGGCUAAUACAGGAUCGGAGACCCCACAGCAUGGUGGGGGUUGGAAAGUUUGAGCGGAUGGGGCUGGACGCGCGGCUUGUCAGCUUGUCGGUGGGGGCGUGGGUUACCAAGGCUUUGAAUGGUAGCCGGCCUUGGCGGGUGACCGGCCACCUUGGUCCUGCGAUACGGCCCAGUCUCCUACGGGCGGCAGUAGUGGGGAAUCUUGCCGAAUGGGCGGACGCCUGAUGAGGCGACGCCGCGUUCGUGAUGCCGUCCUUUGGGUUGUAAACCGCUUUCGCCUGUGACGAAGCGUGAGUGACGGUAACUGGUAAGGAAGCCCCGGCUAACUACGUG
rnacentral:rRNA from 1 species